GCUGGGCUUGGAGGCGCAUGCCUGUAAUCCCAGCUACUAGGGAGGCUGAGGCAGGAGAAUCACUUGAACCUGGGAGGUGGAGGUUGCAGUGAGCUGAGAUUGAGCCACUGCACUCCAUCCUGGGUGACAGAAUGAUACUCUGUCUCCA
ensembl:misc_RNA Metazoa_SRP Metazoan signal recognition particle RNA